GGGGGUAUGGUGAAAUUGGUAAACACAAGGGACUUAAAAUCCCUCGGCUGAAAGGCCUUGUCGGUUCGAUUCCGACUACCCCCACCA
rnacentral:tRNA from 2 species